UACGAAGGGGGCGAGCGUUGUUCGGAUUUACUGGGCGUAAAGGGCGCGCAGGCGGCCAUUCAAGUCAGGCGUGAAAGCCCCGGGCUUAACCUGGGAGGUGCGCUUGGGGACUGGGUGGCUAGAGAUCGGGAGAGGAGAGUGGAAUUCCCAGUGUAGAGGUGAAAUUCGUAGAUAUUGGGGAAGAACACCGGUGGCGAAGGCGGCUCUCUGGACCGAUACGUGACGCUGAGGCGGCGAAAGCGUUG
rnacentral:rRNA from 1 species